GUGGGGAAUAUUGGACAAUGGGGGGAACCCUGAUCCAGCCAUGCCGCGUGUGUGAAGAAGGCCUUUUGGUUGUAAAGCACUUUAAGCGAGGAGGAGGCGCUCUAGGCUAAUACCCUAGAAGCGUGGACGUUACUCGCAGAAUAAGCACCGGCUAACUCUGUGCCAGCAGCCGCGGUAAUACAGAGGGUGCGAGCGUUAAUCGGAUUUACUGGGCGUAAAGCGUGCGUAGGCGGUCAUUUAAGUCAAAUGUGAAAUCCCCGAGCUUAACUUGGGAAUUGCAUUCGAUACUGGAUGGCUAGAGUAUGGGAGAGGAUGGUAGAAUUCCAGGUGUAGCGGUGAAAUGCGUAGAGAUCUGGAGGAAUACCGAUGGCGAAGGCAGCCAUCUGGCCUAAUACUGACGCUGAGGUACGAAAGCAUGGGGAGCAAACAGGAUUAGAAACCCUAGUAGUCC
rnacentral:rRNA from 1 species